rnacentral:misc_RNA from 1 species
GCCGGGGCCGGGUGAGACAAUCCAUCGUCGUCGAUCCGCUUGUGUAGAGCGACGCGUGCACCUACUAACGCAUACAGGUGCCUGCGGAAGUGCUCGUUGCCACCCCCCGCCCAUCUGUUUCACGUUAGUGGCGUUUUUUUCUCUUGUGUCGCCCACGCGCUCUCUCACCUUUUGGGCCUUCCUCUGCGUGCAGCUGGCAAGCCUUCUUUGCCACGGCACGGAUACGCAUCUGGGCACCACUGGAAUCACCGCGUUGCCCCGUGUGUCGCGGCCGUUGUUGGCUGCGGUGCGGUUUCCGUCUCGUCCGCACGAUGAGCUUUGCAGGGAUCGACAAUUGGAUCGGCCCCUUGCCGGGGCUGCGGAGUACGCCCCCGCUUCAGAUAACCCUGCUGGGCGACACGGCGACAGCGACGAGCGCCGGCGACACCGUGCCUGCUCGGUCAACGACCUACGAGGCACAGUACGUAGAGUGCGCGCCGUACCAGAAAGGCACCAUGUGUAUACAGGACCCGGGCGGCGAAAGCAAAGGCGCCAUGGAGCUUGACACCGUGCCCCUCUCCCAGUUGUAUGCCACGGGGUAUCGUAUGUAUCGCAAAAAGCACCAGCCAGAUUCAAAGCAGAGCUUUACUCUGCCAACCUCCCCGCCAGACUUCGAUGGUGACGCACCGAUUGAUCCCCAGACGGUUGCGCGGCACGUGCGCAGCCUAGCCAACGCCUAUAAUAGUGUCACUCCGACCCCGCCACCAUUUCUCAUCUACGAGCAGGUAAUUCUCGACGCUCAAGACGCCCUCAAGAUGACGACAGAGGAGUCCAAUCAGAGUACCGUCCUGCGAAAUGACGAGGCGCGCAACUCGCCGGCCCUGCACACUGCGGAUAACUCGAUAGGCGAUCUCUUUGUCAACUCCUCCACUUUCGGCUCGCAGCUGCAAUCCGACGCGCUGAUGAUGUCGGUGAGCCUGCUGAAUGGUAUGCAGGCGCACGUGCGCUCACUCCAGCUUCUGUAUCAGCGUCUCUUAUCCGAUGCAAACCUUUCCCGUGCGCUGGCGCCGUCGGUUGUGAAAGAGCUACUCACUCAGCUCGACAUCUCCGUCAGGGAGGCGACGCCGCCGUCGGCGCAGGUGAUGGAGAGGUGCUCCAUUGCCGGUCUACUAGUUGGCCGCCGCCACCAGCUGGACGAGGUGCUGCGCUACGCCGACAUUCUGGAGCACCUCACUAUCACCUCAGCCAGCAUCGUCCCGGUGGCGGUCCCGCACGCGCGCGAGAUUGUGCAAUCCUUCUCACUUCAUGCAGCGGACAUCUGCCCCAUCACCUCCCCGAUCGACUGCUUUCAAGACGAGCCCAUCAAGAUGAAGAUGGUGCUGGGCGAGGGAACAGGGGUGCAGAGGUUUUGUGUGAGCCCCAACCAACAGUACCUUGCCACGGUCGGCUCGCAAAAGGUAAUGAUGCUAAACCUCUCGACCGGCUCCUUACACGCUGAGCGGGAGCUGCCAGAGGUGGUGAGCGGCUGCUGGAAUGCAACGUUCUCCGAAGACUCCACGCACCUCAUCUGCACCGAUGCGAGUGGGCUGCGCCACGCCGUUCUUACGACGGACCUUGCAACGAAGGAGGAUCGCACGACGGAUUGCGUGUCGCUGGUGACAGACUACCACAAAGGCGUGCUGGAGACGACGCCGUCGCCGCUGCUGCCAUCCGGCUCCGCUGCGUCGCUGCACAUGCUAGAAGCGAACGCCAAGGCUUACACGGCCUCCUUCAGCCGCCCCUUCCCCGACUCCGUUGACUGCUUCUCCCUCUGCGCGCACGUCUACAACGACUGCGCUGGCACGCUUAUUCACAUCGUUCCUGACACUGGGGAGUCCCUCUCUGUGGAGGUGAGCGGCAACUUGCUGAGGCUGCGACAGGGCUCCAGUGUGUGCCGCGGUGUGCUGCCCUCCACAAGUCAGUGGUACUUCCUACACGCGCAUUGGUGCAGAGGCGUGUGGGCCGUCAGCGUCAACUUCUCCAUUGUCGAGCUGAGUGGGCCGCACUACACGCAGUCGCAGACAAUGAAGAUCAAAAUGGUCGAGUGCCUGCGCUGCACCGGCCACUUCGGGUCCAUGGCGCUGUGGAGCGGCUUGAACGGCCCGGCAACGGUGCGCAGGUUCUUCCAGGAAAGACUCGUCGACAGCUCCGUGUCGCCGCUAUUUGUGCUCCCCAUGGACGAAGGAACAGGAAUGUGGCUGAAGGAGACGGUGGGGCGCCAAUGCUUGUCUCUGAAUACCAAGUCAUUCACGUGGGACUCUUCCGUGGUGGUGCCGGUCGCCACGACGAACCUCUCUGCGGUGCCGCUGGACGACAGGGCUCUCCUGUCCGGCCGGGUGCUGAAGAGCGCGUACCGUCUUUUUGUGAUGCUGCCACCGGCGGAGAAAGGCUCCGACGAUCUUGUGGCUGAGGUGGACCGCGAGAGCAACCGCAUAGUGCGUGUGUAUCAGUGCCCACGCUCGUGCAGCGAGAACGCGUACGCCAUACUUGGCGACGAGUCUGAGCUACUUGUCUAUCAGCAGCGCUUUUCCACCUUCAGCUCUGUUCGCCUCUUCACCCGCCGCCGAAUGGAGAAGGAGCUAGCGUUGUGCAACCCAAGCGAGGCGUGCCCGUGCGUCGGCUCAGCGCCAUGGCUGUUGCAGGAGAUCUACCGCCGCAUCUACACGGAGAGCUACGAACUGGAGCGCGUCCUUCCGGAGAACUCGCCGCUGUCCUUCUGCACCCUUAGCUCGCUGGCGCAGGCACUGCGGCUCGUAAAGUCGUCCACGCCGCCCCUGAAGGUGCUAGCGUUCAUGUCGCUGACACUGGUACACUUCCGCCGUCUUGCUACGCUCAAUGACACUCGCAUUUCCGACAUUGCCGCAUCGCUGAAGGCGUCGUGCAGCACUAUCAUGGAGCUUUUCACGGAAAAAGCAUUCUUGGAGGUGACGCUCAAGCUCUACCGUGUAGCGACCGCGUGGUCUCUCACUGUCGAAGACCAGGCAGAGAUGCUUCUGCACAUGGACUCCGGCGAGCAAGCUAGCUUACAGUGGAGCUACUUUUCGCGAGAGCGUGUCCACACUGUCAUUCGCCACAUUGUACAGCACCGCCCAGAAUACAUCGUGUCGGCCGCGAGGAAUCUCUUGCACCAGUGUGAACGGGAGGCCGUCAGCGAUCCUGGUGAGCCGAAGUCGGCGACGCACCUCAUGACGUCCUUUGUGCUUGCCGUCAUGACCACUCUGCACACGCACGCCGCGGGCAAAUCGCAGGCGUACGCCAGUCAGCUUCUAGAGCUGUUUGUCGACUACAUGUUUCGCUGCAAGUCUCUCUUCAUCCCUGCGCGGGUCGACGAGCAGCCGAACUCAGUCCUUCUCACCGGUGUGCUGCCGCUCUUGGUGACUGUGGCGAACGUGUGCCCGGCAGCCGUCUCUGCUGUAACACAGGAGCAUCUGCUGGAGCUGUGUGACCGUCUGCGGGCGGUUCAGACGAGUCCAGAGCAGGUGGUCGGCUUUUCUACCCGCGAGGCGUACGACAUGUACGUGCCAAACAAGGAAGACAAUGGCAUCUGGCGUCUGUGCCUCGACUUUUCCACCGCACGAAGCGUGUCUCUCAUCAAGGAGGCCAGCAGCCCACCAGUGUUUGUGGUGCAGUCGGACGCGCAGAACGGCAAACCUGACAACACGGUGAUGGACGAGUCGAGCUCCUUCAAGAAGCUGGACGGCGGCGUGCUCCACAUUCACGGUAGAGGAGAAAACAGCUUCACGGCCAUCGCGCAGUACGAAUUUUUGCUUGACGUCUCCCUGGCCUCCGUGAUGCGAGAGGCAAUCUUGCGAGUGCUGCUGGCCGCCGCAGCGGAGCUGAUGCAGAAGCCACCGACGUCCUCCGAGAUCGUCAUUGCCCCGCUGUUUCGCUACGGACUUACCACGAGUGUACUGACCGCCCACAACGUCCAUACACAUGGUGUGCCACACGAAAACAUCUUCGACUUUCCGCUGCGUGUUCUGGAGGACAGGGACGAGGGAAAGGAGUUUGUCGAUGAGGUGAGUAAGGCGAUGCGAGGUUCCAUUUUGCCAUCGAUGCGGCCCGCCAUCCGAGCGCUGCUGUCCAUUCUUCUGCACUGCGGGCUGACCCGCGGACAAGCAGAGGACGAACUGAAGCUACGAUGGUUCAGCGGGGAGUGGAGCACGAAGCUGCAGGGCACCACGAAGACGCAAACGAUCGUCUUCCUCACAUCGCUAGCGCGCUGGAUGAUGGAGUGCGUUUUCUUCGAAGGCGACGGCGCGACACCAAUGUGUGGCCGCCGCACCUCAGUUCGGCUCGAGAACUCCCUGAACGGCUCGAGGUCACUGUCAGAGCGGCGGGGAUCGACGAGCUCGCGCCGCAGCGUCGUGAAGCUGUCCUCGCAGAACGACUCGCUAGAGCAGGUGCGCGUGUUGCUGGCGAAGGGGAUUACCCCAUUAAUGAUUCAAGAGGACUUGAUCAGCCGCGCACGCGCGGCGCAGAACAUCGAAAAGGGGCUCCGGUUGCUGUCGCGUCUGCUGCAGAUCGACCCGGCCAACCUCACAGAGGACUUUCUCACGAGAGCGCUGCGCGUGCUGUAUGCCUUCACGUGCACUGACAACUGCCAGCACUUCACGGAAGUGUUGUGCGGCGCCGGGGUCGAUGCGGAGACGGCUGUCCGUCGUGCCUUUCACGGCGCACUGCACAGCUUCUUUGCGGUACUCAAGAGCUCCUCGAGCACGGUUGGGUACCGGGCUGCCUUGACACAGAAGGCCUUCCAAGGGCGCGCGCUCAUGCUGUUCCACGCCAUUUUGUGUCUCCCAUGGGAUGAGGCAGACUGCGAAGAGUUCAAGCGGAGCUUCGAGACGGAUAACGACAUUCUGAAGUUCUUGGAGAGCCAGAUGGGCUCGCCCACGGCGCUGGCAGCGCUGACAUCGCCGUGGCGCCUGCGGCACGAGGCAUCUCGUCCUGCUGAGGACGUGACGGCGGAUCAGGAGCAGGCAGUGCGGACGGAGCUCCUUGGCGCGGCUGAUUUUACCUCCCUCAGCCGCGUCUUUCCGAACGACUUUUCUGUUGUCAUUCCGACCAUUCAAACGGCUCGGUCGCAGUUCGGCGUCGUGAUGGAGAAGGGCUCUGGCGCCGCCGUGCUGGUGCGCGCUGACGAGGGGUGGCAGCUUAACUGGAAAGAGGGGGUCCCGCGGGUUUACUACUACGAGGUAAAGAUUAACUCUCCCAUCAACAAGUUUGACGUGGGUGUGCAGCUGCCGCGCACGGAGCUCGCCGUCCGCGGCGAGGACCUGUUUCUCUCGUACAGUAGUCUUGGGGACGUUCACUGGGGCGAGCAGGCGCAGCUGCCGCCUUUCACAGAGGGUGACACCGUCGGUUGCGGUAUCGUGGCCACUUCACGUCUUCUAUUCUACACGCUCAACGGCCGCUUUCUAUCCUUUGCGGGGCGCGUCAACGUGCCCACGAACGCCAACGCGGACAGCGCGCUGCUGUACCCCGUCAUCUCCUUCGAUGAUCGAAGCAUGGUGCGCGUCGUAGUGAACUUCGGAAUCGUUCCUUUCGCGUAUGACUACCGCCAGCUGCACCCGGCGCUGACAAUCGAGAAAGGCCCGACUUGGUACCGCAUCACCUCGACGGCGGAGAUGGUGCUGCACUACCUCACGGCUCGUGUGUGCGCUGUGCAGGAGUCGAAGAGCCACAGCGCCCGUGGCGCGCUGACGCAGGUGUGUGAUGUGGUAUGUCGCCAUGUGAACAGCGUCACUUCAUCACUCAUGAAUAUUGGCAUUGGCGGCUCCUCGAAUAGCAACUCGACGACGCGCGUGCAGCAGGCUGUAGCGCUGACCGUCGCCGAAUACUCCAUCAUGGUGCUCAUUUCCACCAUUCGACACAUCGCCACGCACGGUAUUCUGCUGAGCGAGCACAUCAGUAACAUGGUGUUCGACGCCGUCUCUAUUCUUAUGCUGCUACCCCUGCAUUCUGUCCAGAUCGCGACGAUUGGAUUACUGCCGGACGUCAUUGUGCACGUCAAAGAGGUCCCCGACGGCAAGGCGGCGGGGAAUUUGGUGUCUACCCUGUUUGAGAACGCUAACUGCGCCACCGAUAGCGAGGACGUAAUCCCGUUCGUACCGAUGUGGUGCGAGUGCGACGCAAGUGCGAUGGCGAUCGUGAACGUGCAGAACGCGCACAUGCUGCAGGAUGCGCAGCGCAGCAUUGUGCUGGGCAACGUGCUGCCCCGCACAGGAAUGGUGUCCUUCUCUGUCAAGGUGGUGAGGCGUAACAUGUCGAAGGGGCACUCGCUGAAAGGCGGUUACUUUAUCGGAGUGUCCGUGGCGGGGCUGAGCCCGCUGACGCCGACGAGCAACUCGCAGAGCUGGAAGGCCGUGAACCCUCCUAUUGUGUGGGCCAUCCAGGACACCUCGCCGCAGCUGCCGCAUGCCACGAACCCCACCGUCAAGCUCAACAACUUCCAGCGCACCUUCGGCAACGCCGACGUCAUUCGAGUUGUGGUAGACCGCGACAAGCGGUGCAUCGACUUCUACCGCGAGGGCGAGUUCCUGAAGACGCUGUUCAGCAACAUUCCAGAGGACAUUGAUCUGGUGCCGUUUGUGCAGCUUUACAAUGACGACGCCGCCGCCGCGAUUAGCGCCGGUACCAUGACAGCCCCAAUCACCGGGCCAAUGCUGCUCGGCGCGGCUUCGGCCGAUGUGCUGCGCUCUAUGCUCACACUCGACCCUUUCCAGUGCCUUGUCGCGCAGCGUCUGUGCGAGGAGCUUAGUUUCCAGCGGUUCCCUAAGGUGACGCUGCUGAUCUUCAAAAGCGUGCCGGACCCGCGUCUGCUGCAACUACGUAGCUCGGUGGGCGAGGAAGUGACGGUGACGGUGUCGCGGCUGAACGAUUUGCGCUGCAAGUUCACGCUCGGUGACAAGGCGAACUACGAGCAUCUCUACAACAUGCGCACACCGGCCAAGCCGCGGACGGUGUGUACCUUUGACAUUAUUUUGCCGACCUCGCGCCUGACGGGGCUGUCGCGCUGCAUCGACCACCUCAUCGCCGCAGCAGAGCGCAUGGUGGUGCCGCGCAUCACGGUGGAGGCUCUCUGCUGCACUGAGCAAGAUGAGCGCUGCAAGAUCGUGCUCGAGGAGAAGGAUCACUGGGACUUCCUUUUUCACGGGCUGCGCGUGGGCAGCUUCAUCACGGUGCUGCGUCGUCUGCCCUCCAUCACCGCCAUGCACGCGCCACCGAUCCCGCACGACUACACCUUCUCGGCGGCGCUCUCCAACCCAGGUUUUGUGUUGCCCUCGCAUUACUGCGGACGUCUCGCCACAGUGCCGACUGGGGCAAAAGGGGUCUCUACGCCGUUCAUCGCGAUUGCAGAGCCGGCCAUUCCCACGGGGGCGAAGGUCAGCAUCCGAUGUCAGCUGAUUCGCGGGAAUCAAGGCCAGAUCCUCGGCGGUGGGUACUACUUCGGUGUAUGCACGCCGAGCUUUCACUGGAAGCACAAGGACCUGAAUGCACACACCGGCGAGGUGUGGGCACUGCAUGACAUGGAUGACUCACCGUGGCGACUGCGCCACCUGCGCCCCGACGCCACGUUUCCGGUGGCCGCGGAGCCCCGCUGCAUCAUUGUCAGCGGCGACAUCAUUCGCCUUUAUAUUGACCGCACCGCGCGCGUCAUGCAUGCCUUUCGCACGCCUGUGAACGGGGACGAAGUACCGCUCGGACUCAUCUUUGACAACCUUCCGGCCGACGGCGCUCUCUACCCUUUUGUGAAUCUUUUCAAUACGGACGCGGUGGCCGUCUUCCUGCCUUCCAACAGCACCGCGCCGGCCAUUCGCCUGCCCUGCCAGAAGCUUCCGUACGCUCUGUGCACCGCGGACGAGCGUAAGGCGUGUGAUGGGUGCAAUUCGAACCUCGGAGAUGCGAGGGUGUCCGGCCGCUGGUUCAAGUGCAACGAGUGCGCUGACUACACGCUGUGCUCUAGCUGCUUCUUGACUUGCGUGCAUUCGAACCACAGCUUUACCAUGAUGCAUGGCUCGCCGAUCGCCUACUCGACCACGACUCCGGCCACGGUCGAGCGCGGCAUGGAGGUGACGAUACCAGCCACGUCGGUCAUGUACUUGCGCAGCAGCGGUUGCCGCAUGCACGAGGCGAAGAUGAACUGUGUCGCUGAGGCGGUGGAGGACAACGCACUUUGUGCCUGGGGUCUGGUCAGCCAAGACGGCUCUGAGCCGUUCUCUGUAGUGAUCGACACUGUCGAUGGAAGCCCUCUCUCGCCGGAUGCGCCGGUGUUGGUGGGGCUUGGCCCGGCGCAGGAGAUUGUCCAGUCGACGCGCGACAAGCUGCGCGACAAGUGUCUGGCGAACAUUCCUACCAUCGCGACGUACUGCAGCGACCCGUCGCUGCGGCAGCCGCUGGAGAACCGCAGCAGAGACCCGUACGGCUUCAAGCGAGGCUCGCGCAUCACUCUCAAGUACGACGCCGCAGCAGGCAGAAUCACCAUCUCGCGCGACUGGGUCGUCGUUGGCACGAAGUCUGUGGCGCUGAAAGACAGCGAGAACGCCGUGCAGCCGAUUGGCUGCUUUGUGUUGUUGGGCAAGAAGGGUACCACCGUCUCUGUCUUCCCGGAGCGUGCGUGCACGUUGACGACAACGGUGGAAGAAGUCACCGGAAACAUUCUGAAGACGGUGGGCCGCGACGGCAGCGUCUGGUUUGUGACGCGCGAGAACUGUCGCCUGCCGUUGACGCCGUGCCGCGGCCUGUUUCAGAAGAGCAGCCUGGGGUACAUCUUGAUGGAUCACCGUCUCGUCCAGUGCCGCCGGCAAAGCUGGGACAACCGCCUUAUCCGGGUCCAGGUGCUGGAGACAGAGGAGGUAGUGUCGGUGCCACUGCACCAUUACCUCAUCAACGAGAGCAGCGCCAUAUCCGAGGAGUGGUUUCUCUGCCGCCGUGACCGCGACGAGGGCGCAACGGUGGAGGAAGGCUUCGUCAUGUCGCGCCUUCUCCUCAUCCUCUCCUGCCUAUGCGAGAACGAAUCCCUUUCCCACCUGGUCUCGCUCCACCAGGAGCGGCUGCUCAGCAUGACGAAGCGCUUAGCCACAGUCAACAUCGAGAACGACGCACCAGUCGACUCCCUGGACGAGAUUCGGGCAUCCGUCGCCUCCACAGCAAACCGCCGGCGGUGGGCUCUAGAGAAGCGGCACAUUGCCCCGUUUGUUCCAGUCCUCAACACGGACGAGCGGAAGCGGCGCUUCCAGAACGGCACCCUCGUGCACACAGUCGACAGUGAUGACGUUUUCGAGGUGACGUUCCGACGUGGUGAGUCACUGACGGUGCGCAACACGCGUAGCGAGUUCGUGUCGAAGGUGUCAUACCGGAACUGCGUGCCGUUGAAGCAGUGUGGUGGGCGGGCCUGGUACACUCGGCGGAACGGGCUUCCGUGCAGUCUCUACGAGCACACAGUGCGCCUCAGCAGCCCCGCCAAAGCCUCCGAGAGUGUGCCGCUGCAGGACGAGUGGCUGGGCGAGGUGGUCUUCGCACGCACUGCAAAGUCGCUCACGGUGUCGCUUUCACCACACGGCAUUGGCCGCGCUGACAUUGCGCAGGGCACGACCGAGGAGACGAGGUUGAUUGUUGUGUACGAGCACAAGAGGUACUCUCGAGUCGUGCGCCUCUUCAUGCGCCUCUAUAGCGCCGACCUGGAGUGCAAGCUGGAGCAGCUUGUGACCAGCAGUGGUGAAGGAUCGUUGACGCCGACGCGUGACUAUCAGGAUCUCGUCGACUUCCUCAACCGCGCUGCCGAGCCUGUGCACGACAGACCGGUGGCGCCGGGGCAGGAGAUGUACUUUGGCAUGGUCGGGUUUCUCGACGCGGAGGGGCUGCGGCUGAAAGGCGUGUUCCAUUGCCACCAAGGCAAGGGUGGCACCUUCACUCUCAACUCGUGCCGCAGAUUUGCACUGCUCUCGCCCGUGUCGGAGAAGUGGAUGGUGGAGCCGCUGCCGGACUGCCUCGAUGCCUCCAUUCCACCGGCCCCGCAUCGCAAUAUGCGGGAGUGCACCCACCGCCUCGUCGUGCUGCUGGCGCGCCACCUCUACCUUGUCACCUGCAGUCAGAUUGAGCGCCGGCCCGCCGACUUCCUCGACCAUAUUUUCUUCUUCACUAGCCACCCACUCGCAGAUACGCUCGUGCGCAAGGACGCUGGCACCCACCAGCUGAGUGUGAUGCUGAGCGAGGUGAACAUCCGCAUCACUGACCCGAGCGUGAAGCCGUGGGACGCCAUCUCACUAGCCCGUCUCGCCACCAACAGCCUCCUGCUCCGCCCCGAGGCAAUCCACAACGUGCGUGAGCACUUGCUGUGGGACUGCCUGCAUGGCGUAGUGACGGCGGCUCACCGUUGCGGCCGCUACCACCGCCACGAGGUGCUUCGAAGUAUCACCGCCUUUGUGCAGACGAGACUGCAGCACACCAGCAUCUACCAACAGCUCUUCUCUACGCUGUUUUCGUAUGUGGAGCGGUGGGUGGUGGCGCUGCCAGAGGACAGAGAGAUGAAAAAGGACGUGGCGGCAGGCAUCGACCUCCUGCUCGCGCUCGGCAGUCCGCUGGACGAGCAGAUGCGCAAGAUUCCGGUAGCUCCCCUGCACUGCCUCAUCGAUUUGUGGCGGUCUGUGACAGCCGAGGUGGCGCUGCCGCGCGUGGUAGAUGAGCUGCACCUGGCGAUCGAUCCCGAGAGCCCUCCGGUAGGCACGCUCUGCACCUUUGGCGACUACGUCCGACAAGAACUAAAGGUUGGCAAGGUGACAAGCACGUGCGGCACGGCUGGAAAAGGGCACUACUACUACGAGGUGACGCUGCCGGAUCGAAUCACGUCCGCCUACGCGAUCGGAUGGGGAACGGCGGUGCAUAAUGAGGUGCCAGGGCAGCACGUCGGGAGUGACCGCAACAGUUUCGCGUACAAUGGCACCGACAUCAACACACGCGAUGGAAAGGAGGAGUACAAGAUCCCCACGGAGAGCAUCCCCGGCGCCGUUGUGGGGUGCCUGCUCAACAUGGAAGAGCGAACGGCGGCGUGGUCUCUGAACGGGGUGGUGGGACACUUCAUCUCGAUUCCCAUUAGCUUCACGAGCAAUACGCCGCUCUUCGCCUUCGCGUCGAUCGGCACGUGCAGCGGCAUGAAGGUGCGACUGCGCGCAAACGAGUUUGAGUACGCACCAGACGGCUACACCGACCUCUCCGGCCGUUUUGCGCGUCCGGUCGUGGACAGCUACAAUCGCGACCAGCGCAGCUUGAUGGACCGUCAACCCUAUGCAUUCUACCUACACCUUGCGUCCUUUCUCUCCGACGUGGAGGACUACCUCGACGAUCAGGCGGCGCAGAACCAAACCGCCUCUCUGUCGCAACUGCCCGAGGACCCAUACAAGCUAUUCGUGCACGCCUACCCGCUGCUGCAGUCGUACCCCCCGUCCGCGCUGCAGAAGUUUGCGCAGGUGAUCGCGGUGACAGAAAGCUGCAUGGCCACAGCGAAUAACUUCGUUGACCUCGACGAGGAGACUGUCACGGGGACGCUUUCACAGGCGUUCCUGUCGAUGAAGGGGCUCGUCCGCCGUUCCUUUCGCCAGCGCCUGCUGGUGAACGUGGCCCCGCUUGAGGCGGUGAGCACGGUCCCGACAAUCUUUGUGCGCGUGACGGAUCUGUACUCUACUUUGCCGCGCACCACGGAGAGUGCGCUGCGGCACUCCAUCCUCGCGCAGCUGUACCGGCAAAUCGGGUUCUUGACAGAGGAGCAGUGGGCGGUGUCCCCGCUUUUCAAGGUGAACCUGCACAUUAGCGGCUCUGGGCACGCCCCGGUUGACAUGGGCGGUCCGUACCGGCAGCUGUGGACCUUCCUGGCAUUUGAGCUGAUGCAGCACCCUGACAAGUGCUACCCCAACUCCGACUUCCACCGUAACCCACUGUUUGUGUUUGUGAACAACUCGCAGCGCAUUUCCCUCGUGCCGGACAGUCAGGCGAACUCCAUCUACGAUCUGAACCUCUUUACCUUCUUUGGAAAGAUCAUGGGACACUCGGCGCGCGCCAAGACACCGCUCGACAUCGACUUUUCGCCGUUUUUCUGGAAGUUCCUCGUUGACGACGAGCUGACGAUCAAGGACUUUUACACCCACGUUGACAGUGUCGUGGAGGCCACCGUGAGGGAUGACAACUUCCUCCUGAGCGGCGUCGCGGACGAGCUGAUCCCUGGCUUUGCGGAGAGCGUCGAGUGGCUGGACAGCGACGACAACGACGAGGUGGCCGCGCAGCAGCGGCGCACCAUUGCCGAGCGGUGCCUCGUGCACUCGAUGGAUGAGCAGCUUAGCGCCAUCCGCAGCGGCCUCUGGAAAACCCUUUCGCGCCGCGUUGUGCGAUGCUUGUCAUGGAGGGAUCUAGAACAUUUGGUGUGCGGCGAGAGCAACCUCACGCUGCAGGAUUUGCAACGGUACAUCCGCGUGCAGCUGACGGGGAGCCGCGAGGCGCACUUCUGGCAAAUCGUUGAGCAGCUCUCGAUGGAGCAGAGAGCCUCACUGAUCUGCUUCGCCUCUGGACAGCGCCGACUGCCACUGAUCCGACCCAUCACAGUGGCUGAGAACAACGAAAGCGUCGACUACCUUCCCCGCGCUCAGGCGUGCGGGUCACUGAUCACCAUUCCGCAGUACACCUCACUGGAAAUGUUCAAGGAAAAGCUCCUUAUGGCGCUUCAGCACCAGAUGGAGAUGGAGCUGGCGUGAUCCUUCUCGUGCCUGUACACCGAUGCGUUUUUCUAUGUUUACGUAUCUGCGAGGCACUGCCGCCGCUCAGUUGUCCUGGCGUCAUCGCUUCUCUUUUUAUCCCCAACACCCUUCACGAACGGCGCGCUGCUGCUGAGGCGCGGGCCUCGCUCUUCUUUUCUCGUGCCCUUUCGGUGCUCUUCCCAAGGUGCGCUUGCUUCCGUUUUUAUGUUCUGUGCUCAUCUGGGUGAGAGAGGCGGCAUGGGGAUCCCAAAAGAUGGCAAGUGACGCACUCGCCUCGAACGCUGUAACCCAACCUGUGCUCGUGAUGUACAUGCAUGCAUGUGCUGCUGCACGCGUGCGUGCACAUCAGCAAGGCAAAAGAUCAGAGCUUGCGCCACUGGCCGCGUGCCUUUGAAAGCCUCUUUUUCAUUUGUGAUUUCUUGUGCUCUUCCCUCAUGCGUUGUCUUCCUGUGUGCUCUCUGAUGUUCUAUACCUUUCACCGCAGAGCCGGUGGUGCUCACUCGCACUCUUAUCUCUGCACUGCUUUAUUUUCUUGCUGGGCUCCAUUCAUGGCCUGGCAGCAUACGUGUAUCUAGGCCUCUCUCUUUUCCGCGGUAGGCUUCUUCACCUUGGACGGGCUUUUCCCGGGCCUCCUUCCGCGCCCCCACCCCGUCCCUCAUGAUCCGCGCCUGUUUUUUGUUUUUAUUUGCUCCCUUUCCAUGUUGCUUGUGCACUUGUGCGCUACUGCGCCAGUGAGGGGGAGAGUGGAAGUCAUACCCAGUUGAGGCGCUCGCACAUGUCGAUGGACCGGCGCCCAAGUGCGCCACAGCACCGGGCAUCCACAAGGGGUCAAGGAAAGACGUCGGGCACCUCAACGAAUGACGCAGCGUGCACCAGUUACUGUGACCAUUCCACUAAUGUGGCCGACCGCAUCAUUUCUCGACCAUCCAUCCACCCACCCGCGCGCAAAAGAAGCGCCUGGACAAAUCCGCGUCGACGGCCCCUUUGCUUGGCACACUAUUGACGAGGUGUGUGCGCGCCUCAUACACUCUCCACCCCCGUAUUCAUAUACGCAAUACAUACUGCCUCUGCCUCCACCAUCACUAUCUGACUUCUUCUACGGCACGGCGCGCCGUUUGGCUCGCGUGCUCGUUGUCGUGCUCGUGUUUACCCCCUUCCCGCCGCCCCGGUGUGCGACAUAUCUGCGCUCUAUGUACGUGUGUUCAUCCACCAAG